rnacentral:lncRNA from 1 species
UGUUGCAGGGUAUCACUGUUUUUGUUGCUGUUGUUGUGUUGCAGGGUAUCACUGUUGUUGUUGUGUUGCAGGGUAUCACUGUUGUUGUUGUGUUACAGGGUAUCACUGUGAGCCGUUCAACAACCCCUCUGACUUCUUCCUAGACGUCACUAAACGGAGAGGCUCAGUCUACACUAGACAUCACUUCAUUUAACUAUGAUGAUAAGGAGAACUGUGACAACAGCAACCUUCUGGCAGUGAGCUACAGACAGUCAACUCAGUACCAGAGGGUGGUGGAGGAGCUGGACCAUUUGACCCAGGGUCUGGAGGGAGGGGUCGGAGGUCAGGGACAGAAGGCCGACUACGUCACCUCCUUCUGGUACCAGAUGAGGAUAGUGGUGUGUCGUAUGGUGGUGAACUCUCUCAGGAACCCCCAGACAUCGUACGCUCAGCUGGCCCUCAACAUCUUCUUCGCUCUGCUGGUCGGCCUCAUCUACUACCAGAUCCCCUGACUCUACCUGAAGCCCUACAGAACAGGUGUCUGUCCUGUCUGUCUGUCUGUCUUGUCUGUCCGUCUCACAGUGCAGCAGUAUCUAUUCUUUAUUCUCUCUCUCUCUCUCAGGAUGGGAGCAUUCUUUUCCUCAUCAUCAACAUGGUGUUUGGGAAUCUUUCAGCUGUGGAACUCUUCAUCAAUGAGAGAGCUCUGUUCAUGUGAGUCUUUAUGUUUGUAUGUGUUCUGACUCUCUCUCUGUGUGUUUGUAUGUGUUCUGACUCUGUGUGUGUGUGUGUUCU